rnacentral:rRNA from 1 species
GUAAGGAAUAUUGCUCAAUGGGCGAAAGCCUGAAGCAGCAACGCCGCGUGCACGAUGAAGGCCUUCGGGUCGUAAAGUGCUUUUAGGGGAGAUGAGGAAGGACAGUAUCCCCGGAAUAAGGUACGGCUAACUACGUGCCAGCAGCCGCGGUAAAACGUAGGUACCGAGCGUUAUCCGGAUUCACUGGGCGUAAAGCGCGUGCAGGUGGUUUGGUAAGUCGGGCAUGAAAACUCUUGGCUCAACUAAGAGACGCUGUCCGAUACUGUCGAACUUGAGGGUGUGAGAGGGAGGUGGAAUUCCGCAUGUAGUGGUGAAAUGCGUAGAUAUGCGGAGGAACACCAGUGGCGAAGGCGGCCUCCUGGCACACUCCUGACACUCAGACGCGAAAGCUAGGGGAGCGAACGGGAUUAGAAACCCUGGUAGUCC